AAGUUAAAACUUUUUACCGAAUUGCUACACAAUUGCUCCUUCCGCCAUAGUUUUUUUUAAAAAUUUAUUUAGGAAUAUUAGAUAUUUAGAUGGGUUUGUGGAGCAGUGAAAGUGAUGAGAGAUACAGCUAGCCUCAAUAAUUAUGCCCAGAGAAAAAGUUGUUUUUUAUUGUAAAACUUUAGACAGCUUUUUCUCUUUUCCUUUAGCUGGGGUCGAGUUUACUGUGUUAAUCAUUUUUAUUUUAUGGGAACUGUGUUAAUCAUUUAAACUCUCUAAAUCUCCUCUCUCCCACUCGGUCUUACUCUCUCAUCACUCUCACUCUCUCAAUCACCCUCUCACUCUCUCAAUCUCGCUAUCAGCUCACUCUAGCUCUACCACACGCUUUCAAUCUCCCUCUCACUCUCGCUCUCACUCUCGUUCUCCCUCGCUGUCUCGCUCUCGCUCUGUACUCUCACUCUCGGUCUGCAUCUUCAGUUUGGAAUCACAAGGGCACCAUCAAACAACAUUUUAAUUGGGCAUAAUUAUUGAGGCUAGCUGUUCCGCACUUGUUGAUGCUACCACCGUUCUAAGCAAGACAUUACCACAGCUAUCUCUUCUCACUUUCAUUACUCCACAAACCCAUCUACAAUUCCUGAAAGUAAGAAAAAACUAUGGCGGAAGGAGCUUUGUUCGAUCUUGCAGGGAACGUCCUUCAACUGCUGGGCUCUGUCAUUGUUGAAGAGGUCAAACUGGCCUCUAGUGUUGAAACUGAGAUUGAAAAUCUAACCGACACAGUCACCACAAUCCGCGCUGUGCUUCUGGAUGCAGAAAUGCAGAGUUCUCAUAACCAUCAGAUCAAAGACUGGCUCAGUAAGCUCAAAGAUGUCCUCCAUGAUGUUGAUGAUUUGCUGGAUGAUUUCUCCACCGAAGUUAUGCGCCGCAAAGUGAUGACAAAGAAGGUACGCCUUUUCUCUUCAAGUUUAAACCCGCUUGCUUUUAGUCCUAAGAUGGGUCAUGAAAUAAAGGCAAUUAGGGAGAAACUAAAUGCCAUUGCAAAAGAUAAGGAGGCUUUUCACUUUAGUCAAAGCUUGGUUGAGCCACGAGUCAUGACUAGGGGGGACAGAGAAACUUAUUCUUUUGUACUCGAAGAUGAAGUUAUUGGGAGAGAGGAUGAUAAGAAAGAGAUUAUGAAACGUCUUUUUGAUGACAAUGUUGUAGCGAAUAUUUCUAUCAUUCCAAUUGUUGGUUUCGGAGGAUUGGGCAAGACGACACUGGCUCAAUUGGUAUACAAUGAUAAAAAUGUCCAAACAGAAUUUGAGAUAAAACUCUGGGUUUGUAUCUCUGAUGUCUUUGAUGUACAGCGGAUCGUUAAAGAAAUUUUAGAACAUUUGACAAAAAGGAAGCAUGAAGGAAGCAUUGAGAUGUUGCAAACUCGGCUUCGAGAAGAGCUUAAUGGAAAAAAAUACUUGAUUGUCUUGGAUGAUUUGUGGAAUGAGGAGAGUAAUAAAUGGCUUCUCUUGAGAAAUUUGUUAAUGGGUGGUGCUAGGGGAAGUAGGAUAAUAGUGACCACACGCUCAGAAAGUGUAGCGAGGAUAAUAGGGGCAACUUCAUGGCAUGCUCUAAGAGGCCUACCUGAAGAAAAGGCUUGGAGUUUGUUUGUGAAAGUAGCAUUUGAAAAUGGUCAACUGCCAAAGAAUGAAGCCUUUGAAAGUUUGGGUAGGGAGAUUAUGCGGAAGUGUGGUGGGGUACCUCUAGCCAUAAGGACGAUAGCAAGCUUGCUAUGCACCAAAGCUACAGAAAAUGAGUGGCGAUCCUUCAAAGAUUAUGAACUAUCAAAAAUAACUCAAGAAGAAGAAAAUGUUAUUUUAUCAACGCUUAAGUUGAGUUAUAAUCAUCUACCAUCGUAUUUAAAACAAUGCUUUGCUUAUUGUAGAUUGUUUCCAAAAGAUUAUAAGAUUAAUGUAACAACAUUGAUUAAUCUUUGGGUAGCACAAGGUUUUAUUAAGUUAUCAGAUUCAAAGCAACGUGUUGAGGAUGUAGGGCGAGAAUACUUUAUGGUAUUACUUCGGAGAUGUUUUUUUCAAGAUGUGCAAAAAAAUGAUUGUGACAUUAUAUUAUUUUGCAAAAUGCAUGAUCUCAUGCAUGAUCUUGCAGCUCUUGUUGCUGGGAUGGAGAGUACCAUGCUAACUUCGAGUGGGGAGUUUAAUGGUAAAAAAGUUCGUCAUGUAUCAUUUGAUCUUGAAGAUUCCUCAAGGAAACUUUCAAUUUUUAAAGGAAUGAAGAUACGAACAAUUCUUAUAGCUAGUGUAGGGGGGAAAUUGGGGAACUUAAUUUGCAAUGCACUUGUUUCAAAUCUCAAUUAUUUACGAACAUUAGAUUUAAGUGAAUUAAAUCUACGUGUAGUGCCACAUUCAAUUGGGGAAUUAAAACAUUUAAGAUAUCUUGAUCUUUCUAAUAAUGAAGAUAUUGAAUUUCUCCCUAAUUCCAUUACCAAGCUGCUAAAUUUGUUAACGCUAAAUCUUGACGGUUGUUACUCACUUAAAGAAUUACCCAGGGGUAUUAAGAAGUUGGUCAAUCUUAGGCAUUUAGACGUUAGUUUUUGUAGGAAAUUGACGCAUAUGCCCCUUGGACUUGGGCAUCUUACUUCUCUUGCAAUACUAACAAAGUUUGUCGCGAGGCAAGAGGGUGUGAAGGCUAGCUCGUGUGGUUGGUAUGAGAAAAAACAGGCUAAGUCUGGUGGUGGGCUAAGUGAAUUGAAGGAGCUGAGCAAUUUGGGAGGAAGUCUAUAUAUUGAAAAUUUGGGACAUGGAGAAGAUGACAUGGUGGAAUGUAAAGCCACAAAUAUGAAGCAGAAACAACAUCUUCAAGAGCUGGUAUUACAGUGGGAUGAAAAGUGGGAUGAUGGAGAAAACGAAUGUUAUGAUGAAAUGUCACUAGAAGGCCUCCAGCCACAUUCAAAUCUUAAUGCGUUGGGAUUGUUUUAUUAUAUGGGUGAGAGAAUUCCAAGUUGGGUCUCUUCUCUCACUAAUCUUGUUCGUUUUCGAUUAUUUGGAAAUAGGAGAUUGCAGCACCUCCCACCGUUAAAUCAACUCCCUUUUCUCAAGUCUGUCUCUCUUGAGGGAAUGGAAGCACUUGAAUACAUAUCAGAUGAAGACAGUGUUAGUAACGUGUUGGGUGCUUCCUCUUCUUCUUCUUCUUCAAAAACACCAUUCUUCCCAUCCUUAUCUUCUCUAUUUAUAGAGGAAUGCCCAAAACUGAAGGGAUGGUGGAGGAAUUCAGAUGAUAAUGAGCCACACCAUCUCUUACUUCCAUCAUUUCCUCCUUCUGUUUCGGAAUUAACUAUCGUCGGUUGCCCUAACCUGACUUCCAUGCCCCUGAUUCCCCCCUCUUUGAAAGAGCCAUGUAUUGAUGGUUGUCCCCUCUUACGGCUACACGAAGGAAACAGUGAAGAUUGUCCCAAAUAAUCCAACAAGAAAAAACAAUUUAUUCAGAAUCUGAUUUAGAAUUGGAGUUGGUUUGUUCACUUCCAGAGGGGGAAUUUUUUCAGACCCUGUUUGAAUAUUGGGCAACAUUGCGCAUGUUCUUUUCAUUAAUCAAUGCAAAGAAGAGGAGACCAACAUGCAGGGCCCCCACACUAGUAGGGGGGAUAGUGGACGUGGAACUUUUAAGCCAUUGAGAGGUAGAACGAGUAAGGAUGGUUGAGACAUGAUUGGUAAGAGAAGCAGUUUGAUUAAAUAUCCCAAAGAUGGAGUAAUUCACUGCAAAGAAAUGCAGAGAGGGGGGUGGCAUUGAAACCAAAAGGAUUUUCAAAGAUGGUUCUACAAAAAUCAAGCAUCAACUUUCAAUAGAUUGAGUGAAUUCUUAAUUUUGUUGUUUUCUCUUUUUGUGCUGUCUGGAGCUCAUUGUUGUGUACAAGCAGUGCAGGGCAAAUUCAUGCUUGCUUUGUUGAUGGCUUUUGAGACUUCCACAACAAAGGACCUCUUUGAUGCUAGGGUGGAUGGAGGUCACUGUGUCGUAUUUGAAGUAGGUGUGAAGUGUGAAGAUGAUCCAUAUAUGUGUAUUCUAGAGAAAAGGGAAAGGGAGCAUUUUUCAUAAGGGACUAGAAUUAGGGUGAUAAAGCCGCUUGGUGAAGUUGUUUGUCAUGGAAGAUAUGGCAACUAGAGCUUUGUCGAACCAUAUGCUCUUUACAAGCAAGUUUUCAGAAGCAUAUUUGCCUUAAUUUCUUAAGGUGAGCCAUUGUUUUGGGUUAAAUAUAGAGGCAAAUAGAGCUAUUGUUUCCUCUACAGAUGACAGUUCCUCUAAGAAUGCAACCUGUCUCAUAACCCCUAAUUUGUGAAACUUGAGCCUACAUGUUUGUUUGUGGUAAAUUUCUACAUUCCUUUUUUUAUUUUUAAGUAUCUGAGAUACUUAUUAGAUUUUUAAAAGUAUCUUGUCUCACAUUCUGGGGUGAAAAGUUGCUUUCACACAUAACCAUAUGUGUAGUAGAUAUGUGAAGACACAUAUUUCUCUAUCUCCUUUCUUAUUGUUCCUUAGGAUGUCAGCCAUUAUACAGCCGUGUAGUUCCCCAUUGAAGGGUUGUCAAACGGUGACUAUACAGCACUAAGCAAACAAAGUCUUGAAUCUAGCUAUCACAAUGAAUAUGUUUAAAGAUCACAUAAUGAUGUGGAAUGGUCAUAUUAGUCCCUUUGGAGAAGUAUUAGUCACCUUCAACUGUUUUGUUAGAGAAAUGAGGACAAUUGAGUAGAUCUAGUUAGUCCAACCGGAAUGCUGAAAUUGCAAUUCUCAACUUGUUGAUUAAUAUUGCCAAGUAGACGGUCAAGUAUAUGUAUUUCACUUCAAAAUUUUUAAUUUGGGUGGCCAAUUUUGUGUGAGGUUUUGGUGGAUCAACUUAUUGGGUUCCUCUUGCAAUUAUAACUUGGGAGCUCUUUGUACUUGUAUGUAUACCAAUUAAUGUUUGGAGGUUUUAUUUAUUUAUUUUUCUUAUGGGGAUGAAAACUUUGGUAAGAAAUU